rnacentral:lncRNA from 1 species
CCACAGAGAAAAUGGCAGCAGCUCCAAGGCUGCCAGCGUGAGGCCAUUGCCUCCAAUUUCUCAGCCCGGGACCGGGAGGAGCCCGAAAACAGAACCAUCUCUCAGGGCUCUUCAGGCCUCCACAGCCGGGCAGCCCUCAGGCCUCCCCCUGUGCAAAUGUCAGUCACAUGCCCCCUCAUUUCUUCCUACCUGGCGUCACCCAUGGAGCUCUAGCCUCUGCCGGGAGCCAGCUGCCCUGAGAGAUUGGAAGGUUGCAGCCGCCUCAGCCACAUGCCGGAGUCACAUUCCUGGUUUGCCGCCAUGGGGCUGGAAACUGCCCUGUGCAGAGACGCCCAGCUGAGAGGGCCAGCAGGAGCCAAAAUCCAUCCCGUCCUCCAUUCAAGGAGCUCUGUGCAUCUGCUCAGAGGAAGGAGAGACUUCUCUGCAAAGGGCAUGGUCCACUUGCUAAGGCCCAACCCACUAUGUGGACAGCAAAGCAGCCCCCUGCAAAGCUCCUCAUGUGCAUGGACUCCGUAAAUCUUCAUGACUUCCAAGGGAGAGAUGGCAUUGUUCCCUCAUUUUUUGAUGAGGAAACCAAGACUUUAGGGAAAGCAGUUCAAAAACAUAUCACCAGACAAUUCACGGCAGAGGAAAUCAAAAUUGCCUAUCAAGCUUAGGCCAAGUUGCCCAACCUCACAAACUGUCAAGGAAACGCGACUUCAUUGGUCAUGAAAUACCAUUUUUCAUCCAUCAGAGGAGCAGAUGACAAAAAGGGCAAUGACUUCCAAUGCCAGCCUGAAUAUGGAAAACCUGGAGCUCAC